UACCAGCUCUCCGAGUGGUAGGGACGCUUAUUGGGCUUAAAGCGUCCGUAGCCGGUUCAGCAAGUCCUCCGUUAAAUCCAGCGAUUCAAUCGUUGGACUGCGGGGAUACUGUUGGACUAGGGGACGGGAGAGGCCAACGGUAUUCUCGGAGUAGGGGUGAAAUCCUAUAAUUCCGGGAGGACCACCAGUGGCGAAGGCUGUUGGCUAGAACGAGCUCGACGGUGAGGGACGAAAGCUGGGGGAGCGAACCGGAUUAGAUACCCGGGUAGUCCCAGCAGUAAACGAUGCAGGCUAGGUGUUAGGGUGGCCACGAGCCACUCUAGUGCCGCAGCGAAGGCAUUAAGCCUGCCGCCUGGGGAGUACGGCCGCAAGGCUGAAACUUAAAGGAAUUGGCGGGGAGCACCACAAGGCGUGAAGCGUGCGGUUU
rnacentral:rRNA from 1 species